rnacentral:rRNA from 1 species
CCUACGGGAGGCAGCAGUGAGGAAUAUUGGUCAAUGGACGAGAGUCUGAACCAGCCAAGUAGCGUGAAGGAUGACUGCCCUCUGGGUUGUAAACUUCUUUUAUAUGGGAAUAAAAUGUUCCACGUGUGGGAUUUUGUAUGUACCAUAUGAAUAAGGAUCGGCUAACUCCGUUCCAGCAGCCUCGGUAAUACGGAGGAUCCUAGCGUUAUCCGGAUUUAUUGGGUUUAAAUGGAGCGUAGGUGGAUUGUUAAGUCAGUUGUGAAAGGUUGCGGCUCAACCGUAAAAUUGCAGUUGAAACUGGCAGUCUUGAGUACAGUAGAGGUGGGCGGAAUUCGUGGUGUAGCGGUGAAAUGCUUAGAUAUCACGAAGAACUCCGAUUGCGAAGGCAGCUCACUGGACUGCAACUGACACUGAGGCUCGAAAGUGUGGGUAUCAAACAGGAUUAGAGACCCCAGUAGUC